rnacentral:rRNA from 1 species
UUCUAUAAGAAUUAAUUUAUAGUAAAAUCUGCUCAAUGAUAGUUAAAUAGCCGCACCCGUGCUAAGGUAGCAUAAUAAUUUGUCUUUUAAUUAAAGACUAGAAUAAAAGAUUAAAUAUUUUAAUUUUUUUCUUAAAACUACUUAAUUAAAUUUUCCUAAAUGUAAAAAGACAUUUAUAAAAAAAAAAGACAACAAGACCCUUUUGAACUUAACUUUAGUUAAACUGGGGUAGUUAAUUAAUUAUUACUUUAAUUAAUAUAAUACCUAUAAAGACCUAAUAUUAUUAAUAUUAUAAUUAAGUUACCAUAGGGAUAACAGCGCAAUUAAUUUUUAAAGAUCUCAUUUAAAAAAUAGAUUACGACCUCGAUGUUGAAUAAUACACUUUUUAUUGAAAUAAUUAACAAAGUUAGUCUGUUCGACUAUUAAAACAUUACA